rnacentral:rRNA from 1 species
UACAGAGGUCUCAAGCGUUGUUCGGAUUCAUUGGGCGUAAAGGGUGUGUAUGUGGCGCGCUAAGUCGGGUGUGAAAUUUCGGAGCUUAACUCCGAAACUGCAUUCGAUACUGGCGUGCUUGAGGACUGGAGAGGAGACUGGAAUUCAUGGUGUAGCAGUGAAAUGCGUAGAGAUCAUGAGGAAGACCAGUGGCGAAGGCGGGUCUCUGGACAGUUCCUGACACUGAGACACGAAGGCCAGGGGAGCAAACGGG